rnacentral:rRNA from 1 species
GCACAACGCGAAGAACCUUACCAGGUCUUGGCAUCCUCUGACAACCCUAGAGAUAGGGCUUCUCCUUCGGGAGCAGAGUGACAGGUGGUGCAUGGUUGUCGUCAGCUCGUGUCGUGAGAUGUUGGGUUAAGUCCCGCAACGAGCGCAACCCUUGAUCUUAGUUGCCAUCAUUAAGUUGGGCACUCUAAGGUGACUGCCGGUGACAAACCGGAGGAAGGUGGGGAUGACGUCAAAUCAUCAUGCCCCUUAUGACCUGGGCUACACACGUGCUACAAUGGACGGUACAAAGAGCUGCAAGACCGCGAGGUGGAGCUAAUCUCAUAAAGCCGUUCUCAGUUCGGAUUGUAGGCUGCAACUCGCCUACAUGAAGCUGGAAUCGCUAGUAAUCGCGGAUCAGCAUGUCGCGGUGAAUACGUUCCCGGGUCUUGUACACACCG